AUGUGGUUAAGUUACUAAGGGCACACGGUGGAUGCCUUGGCGCUAGGAGCCGAAGAAGGACGCAGCGAACUGCGAUAAGCCUCGGGGAGCGGUAAGCACGCUUUGAUCCGGGGAUCUCCGAAUGGGGAAACCCACCAUCUGUAAUGGGAUGGUAUCCAUCACUGAAUACAUAGGUGAUGAGAAGGCAGACCCGGUGAACUGAAACAUCUAAGUAGCCGGAGGAAGAGAAAACAAUAGUGAUUCCGUCAGUAGUGGCGAGCGAACGCGGAAGAGCCUAAACCGUCGGGUUUACCCGGCGGGGUU
rnacentral:rRNA from 1 species